UGGGGCGUGGCCAAGUGGUAAGGCAAUGGGUUUUGGUCCUAUUAUUCGGAGGUUCGAAUCCUUCCGUCCCAG
rnacentral:tRNA from 4 species